GGCGCUGUGGCUUAGUUGGUCAAAGUGCCUGUCUAGUAAACAGGAGGUCCUGGGUUCAAAUCCCAGCAGUGCCU
rfam:Danio rerio chromosome 4, GRCz11 reference primary assembly.